AGGGAUCAUUACUGAGUUACCGCUCUAUAACCCUUUGUGAACAUACCUAACCGUUGCUUCGGCGGGCAGGGGAAGCCUCUCGCGGGCCUCCCCUCCCGGCGCCGGCCCCCACCACGGGGACGGGGCGCCCGCCGGAGGAAACCAAACUCUAUUUACACGACGUCUCUUCUGAGUGGCACAAGCAAAUAAUUAAAACUUUUAACAACGGAUCUCUUGGUUCUGGCAUCGAUGAAGAACGCAGCGAAAUGCGAUAAGUCAUGUGAAUUGCAGAAUUCAGUGAAUCAUCGAAUCUUUGAACGCACAUUGCGCUCGCCAGCAUUCUGGCGAGCAUGCCUGUUCGAGCGUCAUUUCAACCCUCAAGCACCGCUUGGUUUUGGGGCCCCACGGCACACGUGGGCCCUUAAAGGUAGUGGCGGACCCUCCCGGAGCCUCCUUUGCGUAGUAACUAACGUCUCGCACUGGGAUCCGGAGGGACUCUUGCCGUAAAACCCCCAAAUUUUUUACAGGUUGACCUCGGAUCAGGUAGGAAUACCCGCUGAACUUAA
rnacentral:rRNA from 1 species